UUUAUGGAGAGUUUGAUCCUGGCUCAGGAUGAACGCUGGCGGCGUGCCUAAUACAUGCAAGUCGAGCGAACGGACGAGAAGCUUGCUUCUCUGAUGUUAGCGGCGGACGGGUGAGUAACACGUGGAUAACCUACCUAUAAGACUGGGAUAACUUCGGGAAACCGGAGCUAAUACCGGAUGAUAUUUUGAACCGCAUGGUUCAAAAGUGAAAGACGG
rnacentral:rRNA from 1 species